rnacentral:rRNA from 1 species
GACGAACGCUGGCGGCGUGCUUAACACAUGCAAGUCGAACGGAAAGGCCCUGCUUGCGUGGGGUGCUCGAGUGGCGAACGGGUGAGUAACACGUGAGUAACCUGCCCUUGACUUUGGGAUAACUUCAGGAAACUGGGGCUAAUACCGUAUAGGAGCUCCUGCUGCAGGGUGGGGGUUGGAAAGUUUCGGCGGUUGGGGAUGGACUCGCGGCUUAUCAGCUUGUUGGUGGGGUAGUGGCUUACCAAGGCUUUGACGGGUAGCCGGCCUGAGAGGGUGACCGGCCACAUUGGGACUGAGAUACGGCCCAGACUCCUACGGGAGGCAGCAGUGGGGAAUAUUGCACAAUGGGCGGAAGCCUGAUGCAGCAACGCCGCGUGCGGGAUGACGGCCUUCGGGUUGUAAACCGCUUUCGCCUGUGACGAAGCGUGAGUGACGGUAAUGGGUAAAGAAGCACCGGCUAACUACGUG